ACCGUGUUUCGUAUCACGCGGAUGUUGAUAGUUAAUGCAUUUGUACAUGCAGUCUAAAUAGUUAUUUGGUUUAUCUUUUAUACAAACACUGCCCUGUUUAAACUGUGUCAAGGAAAUUAAAACAUAAAAAUAUAACUCAGUUAAAUCUGGAUUGAAAACUUCACAAAAUGGGCCAAGGGACAGGAUCAGGGACCGGCGGACCAAAAUUCUUCUGGGGAUUGUUGUGGUUCCUCGCAAUAUGGUUUAUAGCAUGGCCGGUGGCUUUCUUCCUGGCCUGGCUGUACAUCUUUCUACUGCCAUUUAGCGUCUGCAUAGAUCCAUUAAAGGAUGUAUGUCAAUUCUUGCAAAAAUGUGUGCAACUACCUUUAACAUGUGCUGAAAAUAUGGUAGCAAUGAAACCGAUGUGUUAAUUGUUUAAAAGAUGCAACAUUAACACGAUGAAUGUAUGGAUGCAAGGAAACCAGUGUAUGUGUAGCAGUUUUUAAGGUAGUGGACCUGAAAUGACCUUCUCGCUAGUCAGUCGUGCAACAUCGGGCAUUUCCGUAUUCUCCGGUAAAUCCGUCUAUUGCGUAGCAUAAAGGCCGAGGUGAUCAGAUUGCUCGCUAGUGUGACUUUCCGUAAAAUCCCGAAGAAUACCGAAGUCGCAUACGGAGAAUACGCCAUUUCCCGAUUGUCCUUACAGACUCACGCUGAAAAGUAUUGAUACCAUGAAAAAAACAGUGUUUAACUUUAUAAUGUAAAUAAAAACAUCGCUGCUAAAAGCCUACUAUUCUUAUGUAAGUAACAGCCAUUGUUAACAUUACUUUAAAUUCUGAAACAAACAAAAAAUGUUUUCAUUCCCUAUGUAUGUAACACUAUUUUAUUUUAUGAAAAAAUAAGUCACCUUGUAUUUUUUAUGGAAAUUAGUUUUAUUGUUGUUUUUUAAUUUGAAAUAAGGGAGACUCAAAGAAACCAAAUGGAUGAGUACAUGUAUAUAAUUAUACAGGUGACUGCUAUACUGUGGUAAGCGAAUAGAAUAUUGUGUUGGUUUGGCUGCCUGUAAUUUGAUUAUUAUUCACUGUUUAUUUACAUUUAUUCAUUAUUUUCUUAUAUCAUGAAUUAAUUUUAUUUGCUUAUUGAAUAUACUGAUUUAUAGAACUGGAUGUAAUUUUUUUUUUCGGCAGCGUAUAUUCACUUUAUUGUUUGUUUGUAUUCAUUGUUAAUUGUAGCUAUCCUGUGUGAUACGGGGAAAUCAAGCAUAAUAUGUAUACAUAAAUAUUAAUAGUAAUCUAAGACAUUGUUGUUUGUCUUUAUUUAUAUAAGAAUAUUAUUAAAUGGAUUGAAUGACAACACACAGUCAAAAUAAUGUGAUGACUUUUCUUUGAUAGACAUACUUAGGUUUAAUUUCAAUUAAUAAAAAGUUUAAAAAGAUUCCGAUUAGUCUCGCUAUGAAAUGCGCAUUAUUUAUCGAGAUCAUUUACUCGCGUAUGAUACCCUUAGUAUGAAAACUUUCUACAUUUCAUAAAAUCAUCUAAGGAGUAUUGCCCAGCAAUGUCUGCCAAACCUCAGCAUAUGCAGUUUUACCGUAUAUGUGUUUUUUUUUUUCAGAACACGAUUGGAGAAAAAAAUAAUUAAAAACAAUUCUUACGCUCUUUCAGAUAGGGUUUUCGCUAUAUCUACUUUUCUUUAGAAGAAUCCGGUUUUGUGACAAAAGCCGGCUCACCCAGAGUGCCACCCUCCCCAAUCUGCUCCUACGCAUAUAUGCGCAUAAAGUACAACCACGGAUAAUAAAAAUGUGCACCUUUUUGUUGCUACAACUUCUCGUUGCUACAGUAACCAGACAUUUAGAAAAAAAAUGGCCCUCAUAUUCUCAAUAUGGGUAAAGGCAAGACAGCUGCACAUGACCAAGAUAGAAGGAAGAAUGUUGUGGAGGCCCAAGGUUAGUGUUUCUGUCUAUCUGUACAGCAGAUUUAAUGAGGAAAAUCGCUUAGAAAGCUUUUUUUAUGGUCCAUAAUUUUUGCGCAUAAUUAUGUAGUCUAAUUAUUGUUACAGGAACCGUAAAAAGGACCUACAUUUACUCCAUAUAUCCAUAUCGUGAAAGUUAUCAUAGCAUCCAAGUUUUUGUGACGUUUUCAUUAUAUACCGGGUUUCAUGAAAAUAUCUUUUAGUUAUCGCAGUGUACG